rnacentral:lncRNA from 1 species
GUGUCCUUGAUUUUUGAACUAAAAUAGACUUGAACGUGUGCUGGAGACAGGCCUAAAUUCAGAACCUUAAAAAUAUCUUUUUGUGUCCUGAGAUCUUAUUUUAGAUAAUAUUAAAAAUAACCUUUCUCUCCUAGGCAUCUUAAGCAAGUUUGAUGUUAUAAUCCAUUGGUAGUUUUAUGGUGAUUCACCAUAGAAAUGAGCCCUCCAAGCUGCUCCUGUGAACUGCAGCUUCAGAGGGAAUGGUCUCAAAGCCGCCUUGGCGGAAGGCCUGUGAUUUCUGCUGACUCAUCACUACCCGAGGCAGGGGAGCGUCUGCUUCUUUGCAAUAAUAGGUUCCUACACCUAUGUGUCUUUAUAAAAAAAAAUUAAAAAGGAAGAGCAUUGUGUGAAGGAGUCACAAGCUGUGCCCAGGGAGUUGGCGGAAGAAGAUGCCCGUUUAAAAUAGCUCACGAUCCUCUGUGAUUGGGAGUUUUGAAGCCGACACAGAGCAGUACAAACUGUUCUCUUUUAAAUUUUGUAGUAGAGUAGGUCACCCUUUCUCAUCUCUCCCCCAUGG